AGAGUUUGAUCAUGGCUCAGAUUGAACGCUGGCGCCUUGCUUAACACAUGCAAGUCGAGCGGAAACGAUGAUAGCUUGCUAUCAGGCGUCGAGCGGCGGACGGGUGAGUAAUACUUAGGAAUCUACCUAGUAGUGGGGGAUAGCUCGGGGAAACUCGAAUUAAUACCGCAUACGACCUACGGGAGAAAGGGGGCAACUUGUUGCUCUCGCUAUUAGAUGAGCCUAAGUCGGAUUAGCUAGAUGGUGGGGUAAAGGCCUACCAUGGCGACGAUCUGUAGCUGGUCUGAGAGGAUGAUCAGCCACACCGGGACUGAGACACGGCCCGGACUCCUACGGGAGGCAGCAGUGGGGAAUAUUGGACAAUGGGGGCAACCCUGAUCCAGCCAUGCCGCGUGUGUGAAGAAGGCCUUUUGGUUGUAAAGCACUUUAAGCAGUGAAGAAGACUCCGUGGUUAAUACCCACGGACGAUGACAUUAGCUGCAGAAUAAGCACCGGCUAACUCUGUGCCAGCAGCCGCGGUAAUACAGAGGGUGCAAGCGUUAAUCGGAAUUACUGGGCGUAAAGCGAGCGUAGGUGGCUUGAUAAGUCAGAUGUGAAAUCCCCGGGCUUAACCUGGGAACUGCAUCUGAUACUGUUAGGCUAGAAUAGGUGAGAGGAAGGUAGAAUUCCAGGUGUAGCGGUGAAAUGCGUAGAGAUCUGGAGGAAUACCGAUGGCGAAGGCAGCCUUCUGGCAUCAUAUUGACACUGAGGUUCGAAAGCGUGGGUAGCAAACAGGAUUAGAUACCCUGGUAGUCCACGCCGUAAACGAUGUCUACUAGUCGUUGGGUCCCUUGAGGACUUAGUGACGCAGCUAACGCAAUAAGUAGACCGCCUGGGGAGUACGGCCGCAAGGUUAAAACUUAAAUGAAUUGACGG
rnacentral:rRNA from 1 species